rnacentral:rRNA from 1 species
UCAAGACGGGUCGCUGAUGACCAUUACGCCAGCAUCCUUGCAGAACGCGAACCUCAGUCCACCGCAGGGUAUUACGCAACGGGCUAUAACACUCCCGAGGGAGCCACAUUCCCGAAGCCUUUAUCCCCCGCAGCGAACUGAUGCUGGCCUGGACGAGGAAGAGUGCACCAGGGAGAACCCAGGUUGAUCUACCAAGCCCAAGUCUGGUCAUAAGCGCUUCCCUUUCAACAAUUUCACGUACUGUUUAACUCUCUUUUCAAAGUGCUUUUCAUCUUUCGAUCACUCUACUUGUGCGCUAUCGGUCUCUGGCCAAUAUUUAGCUUUAGAAGACAUAUACCUCCCAUUUAGAGCAGCAUUCCCAAACUACUCGACUCGUCGAAGGAGCUUUACAGAGGAUUGGUGUCCAACCAGACGGGGCUCUCACCCUCUAUGGCGUCCCGUUCCAGGGAACUCGGAAGGCACCGCACCAAAAGCAUCCUCUACAAAUUACAACUCGGACCCGAGGGCCAGAUUUCAAAUUUGAGCUGUUGCCGCUUCACUCGCCGUUACUAGGGCAAUCCCUGUUGGUUUCUUUUCCUCCGCUUAUUGAUAUGCA